CAGGGCUGCUGUCUGCAGAAUUCCAAUAGAGAGUGAAUCAAGAGGCACUUGUUCUUUCCAGUGGCUCUCAGGUUUUUGAUAAUCAUUGCUGGCAAGAUGAUGUAUCCAAGCAUACAUUGAUAAUCCCCCUCUGUGUUUUUUAUAGUUAUGGUACAUUUUGGUGGACGAUGCUUAUUUGCUAAACUCUAAGUCUUAUUUUCCAUUGACAUACAUAUUUUUAUUUCCUUUGAUUGCCAGAGAACAUGCAACGUACAUAUAUAUACUCAAGUCACUUUAACAAGAGAUGUUCCCAAUAAUUGGAAAAUUCCUACUUUUAAAGUGUUCUACAUGCAAAUAAGCUGUGGUGGUUCCAGAGGGUGAUUUUGCAAUUAGGCUAAUCUUGUAAUGAGUGAUUAGGUGAGCGACAGCACUCUGCUUGAAAAUGGUGUAUAUUGACUGUUGGAGCCCUGUAAUGAAGCGUGGAAAGCUCUAUGCCCAGUGUUCUCUGGUAGAAUUGUCAGUCACUGGCACAUCAUGGCUGAAGCAGUUUAUUGAGUAUGACUGCCAAAUCUUACACAGGUGCCGGAUUAAUUUUGAUGUAUCGCACUUAGAGCAAUGGCUUUGGACAGUUACUUUGCAGUGUGUUUGCUGGAAAACCAUUGAAGGGAAUUUUUUGAACAAUUGGACUAAAAUAGCCAUGCUACUGUAAAUAAUCUCCUGCAAUGCUUUACAAUCUCUGUAAUGAGAAAUUAAUGCUUUUGAAUUGUAACAUAUUUCUACUAUAAAACUAAUUUCUGCUGUCUGUUCAGAAAGGCAUUUCCUAGGCACAAGCUGCAAAGGGCUGCACAUUGCUUUACUGGCAUUCCUUGGUAUCACAGUACCAGAGGGGCAGAAAUUAAGUGGCUUAUGUCAUGAACAGAAACAUUCUGGAAUGACAUGACAUACACAAGGCACGAGUAGGCGGACCGCAUUUCAUAAUGUGUACUUUGCUUUGUGCAGUUUUCCUACUAGUGCCCCUACCUUAUACUAUGUCCCCAUCUCAUAUCAAGGUAGAUAGAAUAUCUGCUUAACACAAACAGGAAGAGGACUGCUGAAAGAUCUGUGUAGCCCCUUUUUAAAUGCAAAAGUAUCCCAACCACACUGUGCUCUUUUCUGGGGAAUACUCAGGUAGCAAAAUGCUAGGUGGCUUUUGUGGGGGUGCUUCAGAUUUGAGUAACGUAUGAAUACACAAAUAGACAGCUUGAGUUAGCAAAACACUAACAUAGUGAAGUGAUUCCCUUUUAUGAGGAAAGGGCUUUGUGAGAUUGGGACAUUGCAACAGAUAUGAUUUAGAGCAACCUUGGGGGGGGGGGAAUGGUACGUGUUGAAACUCGACCAAAGUCCUGGAGUUAAAUUGUGAGGAGAAAAUGACGACAGUUACUGGUAGUUGCCUGGUAAAAUUAGAUUAAUACUUAACCCAAGGCAAUCAACAGGGGCACCUGCCUCAUCAGGAGUCGAUAUAGUGCAUGGAGUCAGUAUAGUGCGUGUGGAAGGGGGAAAAGUCAGAUACAGCUUUUGCAGAACAAGGCUACAGUGGUACCUCGGGUUAAGUACUUAAUUUGUUCCGAAGGUCUGUUCUUAACCUGAAACUGUUCUUAACCUGAAGCACCACUUUAGCUAAUGGGGCCUCCCGCUGCCACUGCGCUGCCAGAGCAUGAUUUCUGUUCUCAUCCUGAAACAAAGUUCUUAACCUGAAGCACUAUUUCUGGGUUAGCGGAGUCUGUAACCUGAAGGGUAUGUAACCUGAGGUACCACUGUAUAGGCAACUACAAAUUUAUGCCCAAUUGGUGCACUAUUGCGUAUUCAUAUAUCGCCACAACCCAGAAGUGGACAGAAAAGGGGAUGGAAUGGGGGCGGAGUGAGAUUAUGCAUGCGGGGGACAGGAAAUUCAACCGCUGCACAAAACAGUUUUUGCCUGUAUUUUCCUUUGCAGACUCUGAUGGGGGGCAGGGAGCAAGAGGGCACAAGUGCCCUGGUUGGCAGGUUAGCAGGGUGGCAAACUGCAUCCUGCCCUGACAGUAACAUGGCUUGUGGGGGAAAGCCAUGCUUGGUGACUCCCCAGUUCGGACAGUCACCUCUUCUAAUAAGCAGAACUCAGCUGGAACAUAAAGGAGGAAUUUCCAAGCGUAUGCUGUGGCGGCAUUCCUUUCUAUUUUUCUCAUGCCGUGUCAUCAGGCCAUCAUUAGCUUGGCAGUGAAACAGUGGUGGCUGGCUUGCUGAGUUAGCAGCGAUGAGGCCAGGGAAAGUGAGGUGAGGCUAGCUGUGCAUCACUGCUUGUGGGCAGGAGCCAUCGGUGCCAACAGUCAAGAUGGUGCCUGGCUGGGGCUUUGCAGGGGAGGAGAGGAGGAGGCAGCCCUGGCACCGCGUUGGCCAUGUCAGGCAGUGACUGGUGAUUUGCUAGAUGCAUUUCUGAACCCAGUUAGAGAGGCUGAGAGCAGGUGCUGCAAACUUGAAUGCUACACUGGCAGUGCUGUUCUUCUAGCUGACGCUCCUCUGCUUUCUCGCCUGGCAGGCUCAGGCUUAUGCUGCUGCUGUUGCUGUGUUUUUUUUCUUGUUUAGCAAUCUGCAAGAGUUCCAUGAGGCAUAGUUUUGGUGAGGGUAGGGCAAAUGAGAAGCUGCCCCCCCCGAAUCAUUGGCAGAGAUUUCGGGGGGGGGGGGAGCUUAAUUCAAAUUAUUUGUUAAUUUUUCAAAAAUACCACUUCAGAUUAAAUUAUUUGGCAGCUUAUAGUUUAGGAGCCACUUCUGUAUAAAGAAAACGCAUCAGCACUUUUAAAAGGAUGCUUCACAUUGUGAGUGGCAAUUAAGUACUGCCACUAAAAAGGACACCCUCCCAAGAGAGUUCACAAUUGGAGAGCAGCAGUGCAGACUCCCCCCCCCCCCAGCAAAAUUUGUAAAUCUGGCACUAUUCCUCUGUAGCACUAACACUAGCUCAAGCUGGAAGCAUAAACAUGGUUGCAUGUGGAAAAGCCUGUUGGUUUACUUUUUGUAAUUUCUGUUUGUAUCCAACAGUAGAAAAAACAUCAUAUGUUACGUGCUUCAGAAAUUAUGAGCUCUAUAAUUAACUUUAAAAUGACAAACCCUAUCAGCAGACUUGCAGUCUUAAAAAGGAAGAACAGACAGAGAUCAAAGGUUGAAGAAUUUGGGAGCAAAGAUAUUACACACUGUUUAGAAACAUGAAAGGACGGAGAGGGUUGGCAGUGAGAGAGAUUUGGAAGUUGGCUAGGAGAACGAAUUCCAAAGAGAAAGAGAAGGUCUAGAAUGCAUGAAAUGGAAGAAGUAAUUCAAGGUUAAGCAGAGAAGACUAUUUGUAGAGUGGAGAAGACAAGAAAGCAAGUAAAGAGAAGAGAAGAAAGACUAUUAAAGAGGCAAUGAGUGAAGAGAUGGGAAAACAAAGUAGUAACUUCCCUGGCUCCUGUUAGAUCCAGUUGAAGGGAGUGCAAGAGAGGAGAAGCAUGGGCAAAACAUGGGUGGACCAAACAAAUGGGCAGCAGAAUUGAAAACAGGAAAGGAGAAAAAAGAAAUCCAGAAGAGAGACAAUUACAGUAAUCAAUCUGGGAAAGAAUUAAGAGAAAAGACUAAUGUCUUUGCAAUUUUCCAAUUAACCUGAGGGCCACUUCGGCAUUUUGCUCUUAACCACAAAAAGGCAUGCUUGUCACUUUUAUCUUGUGAACCGCCCUGAGAUCUUUUGAUGAAAGGUGGCAUAUAAAUCUGGAAAUUAAAUUAAAUAAACCCAUUCUCUGCUAACUCCUUUUUCUCUGCACAUACCAAAGCAUGCUCUCAUCUUGUAUAUCCCUCAUUUUCUUUCCCCAUACCAGACUUUAUUCUCAGCAACUCUCUCAAAAGCACACAAGUCUUUAACUCUCACAGCAUUUCAAAGGACAUCUCAAACAGAGGUAGGCAGUGAAGUAUAGCUAUGUGGUUGAAGCAGAAUUGAAAAACUGGAGCCAUCUCUGCCCACACCUUUGAAUUUAGAGAAGGAAGAAGCAGUGCACACCACAACGCAGCCCUUUGGCAGCCCCUUUUUAAACAAAUUCAUCCACAGGGCUGCAGGCCUUACGUUGUACAAACUUGCAACAGAGGGAGAAGAGAGCAAAGGACUUCUUAGCAAUUGUAGCAAAACCAACCAGGGGAGUAUCCAACUAAUGUGUCUCACUGGUGCAAGGAUUAACACUUUGACAAAAGAGCUUUCCCCUCUCUCCUCACCCCUCAUCCUUUCUCUUUCCUCAGAAAGAUAAUAAUGAAAGCAAGAAAAUGUAUGUCCACCAAAUUCCAAAGAAGAAAUAGUAGAAUAAUCAACAUUGCUAAAAGGUAAAGACAAGUAAAAGGUAAAGGUAAAGGUACCCCUGACCGUUAGGUCCAGUCGCGGACGACUCUGGGGUUGUGCACUCAUCUCGCUCUGUAGGCCGAGGGAGCCGGCGUUUGUCUGCAGACAGCUUCCGUGUCAUGCGGCCAGCAUGACUAAGCCGCUUCUGGCGAAACCAGAGCAGCGCACAGAAAUGCCGUUUACCUUCCUGCCAGAGCGGUACCUAUUUAUUUACUUGCACUUUGACGUGCUUUUGAACUGCUAGGCAGGAGCUGGGACCGAGCAGAGGGCCAAAAAUUGACCAGGUGAUACAGCACUAAAAUGGGAGGAGCAACAAACAGAUUCAGUGAAAUGCCAAUGAUACAAACCAGAUGAUGCACUUCUCCUUAACCCAACAGUAUUCCAGCCCCUUCUGUUUUAGUUUACUUCAUUUCCAAAAAGUGAUAGAGGGUGUAUGUUUUAUAAAAAUGUUAUUGAAGUUCAGAGAAUUGCUGUGGAGGAUUGUAUUGUUGUGCAUUGUUUUCUACUGCUCCCCCCUUCCCCCAUAAUGGUUUUCAAAAGUGCUCACAUGGACAAGCUCUUAACUUCCACUUUAUUCUUGUUAAUUACUGUGAGAUGGGUACGCUGCUUGUCACACACAUUUAACCACACCAGUCGAAGGCACAUUUCUCUUCAGCACUGCUGUUGCUUCUGAGCUCUAGUUUCCUAGGUAGAGCUUGAUAAGCUACCAAGCCUUGCAAAACUAGUUUGUCCAGAGACGAUUGUGAGUCAGAAAAAAUGAAUAUGUAUGUAAUGGGGCACCAAUGGCUUUUACAAUGCCACUUCUAUGCCUUCAUAAAGCUAUUUCUGAAUAUAUCCAUAGUGUCUAAGCAGGGAAUAUGAGCUCCCUUCCUGCUUCACUUUUCUUUUCUUUUUUUGCCAUCCAUCUCUCCUUUCAUUGGAGGGCUGUGGCAGUACUUGGUGGUUGCUUCUGGGAUCUUUUUGCUUAAUAUUUCUAGUGGCAUGUAUUUGCUUUUGUUACAAUAGAUAAACUCUAGAAAUGCAAUAGAACGUUUACGAAAUGAAAAGCUUUUAUCCUGUUGCCUGCAGUUCGUCAAGGCUUUGGGGAAAUGAAUGCAUGCGACUAUGAAGCAACCUCACUGUGAACAGCCUGGUGCAAGCUUUUUCAUUCUCAUUCCCAUUCCCAUUUCCUGCCUCCUGUCUGCUUCCUUGCUGUUCCUUGAAAAUAGAGCAGUUCUAUUUCCCAGAUGACCACUGGAAUAAAAAGAAACAAAAAAAAAACCCAACCCCAAGGCACUAAGACAAACAGUUCUUCUUUUUGAACGAAUUGUGUUGUCAUUUUCUCUCGCUUUUAACUGCUAUCUGUAGUAUAAGAUAUGACACAGUAAAUCAAUGCAGGAUUUCUUUUCUCUGAUGCAUAUUAUAUGUAUCUCACUUACAAGGAUGGGAUAAUUAGAAGAUGAAUUUUCUUUUUGUCAUGGACAGUGAUGGAUCAAAAAGAAUCCUUUAACAUUAAUUUUAUUGCCUUCUAUAACAGAGAUAUUAAUGCCAAGAUUCUAAUUCAGGCCCUUGAGAACCAAAUUGCUUCGUU